CAAACUCGAACAGAACUUUCAACCACCUCGAAUGGCGGAAGGGUAUCUGAUCAGAGUGAGAGGUCACUGACCUCUUUUACCCUGCACACCCUGUUCCACCCGCGCAUGUUAACAUCUCAUCUCUUCUACUGCGCCAAUCGCCUCCAAAAGCCAAAAGCAUUGUAUCUCAAUUGGACGUCACGACCCUUGGACCUCCUCUAGGGCCAACCGCACACCUCAUCAAUAAUUAAAUCAUUUCAUUUCAAAUUCUUCCAAUUUUCAAUGUCUUCAGUUCGUAAAUUGAUGGCUAGUAUUUCAAACUCGUUGCCGCUGAAGCAUGGAAUCUCUCUCUGGUGUCCUCAACAUGCUUCUCUGAAUCGGACCCGCCUUCCUUCUUCAUUCGGAUCAUCAGCCUCAGCCAGACGUUACGGCGUCGUUUCGUGUGCUUUCGCUAACGAAAAUCGAGAGUUUGUUAUCGUCGGCGGUGGAAAUGCCGCUGGGUAUGCAGCACGGACUUUUGUUGAACACGGUAUGGCUGAUGGAAAGCUCUGCAUUGUAUCUAAAGAGGCAUUUGCGCCAUACGAGCGUCCUGCUUUGACAAAAGGCUAUCUGUUCCCUCUGGACAAAAAGCCAGCACGAUUACCUGGUUUUCAUACUUGUGUUGGAUCGGGUGGAGAGAGACAGACCCCUGAUUGGUAUAAAGAGAAAGGGAUAGAGAUGUUAUAUGAAGAUCCAGUAACAGGUAUUGAUAUUGAAAAACAAACCCUGAUGACAAAUUCAGGCAAACUCCUCAAGUAUGGAUCCCUUAUAAUUGCUACAGGUUGUACGGCAUCAAGACUUCCAGAUAAAAUAGGAGGAAACUUACCUGGUGUUCAUUACAUCCGGGAUGUUGCAGAUGCUGAUUCAUUGAUAUCAUCAUUGGAGAAGGCACGGAAAGUUGUUAUUGUUGGUGGUGGUUACAUUGGUAUGGAGGUUGCUGCAGCGGCUGCAGGUUGGAAACUUGAUACCACGAUUAUAUUUCCAGAGGAUCAUCUUUUGCAAAGAUUGUUUACUCCUUCACUUGCACGGAGAUAUGAAGAGUUUUAUCAGGAGAAUGGUGUCAAAUUUGUGAAGGGAGCCUCUAUCAAAAACAUAGAAGCUGGUUCUGAUGGACAUGUAACUGCUGUAAAACUUGAAAAUGGAUCCACCAUAGAAGCAGACACGAUUAUUAUUGGUAUUGGAGCAAAACCUGCUGUUAGUCCAUUUGAAAGGGUGGGCAUAAAUACCACUGUGGGCGGAAUACAGGUUGAUGGUCAGUUCCGAACAAGUGUACCUGGAAUCUUUGCAAUUGGAGAUGUGGCUGCAUUCCCAUUAAAGAUGUAUAACCGUAUCGCACGAGUUGAACAUGUUGAUCAUGCUCGUCGCUCAGCACAGCAUUGUAUAAAUGCAUUAUUGACUGCAAAAACACAUCUAUACGAUUAUCUCCCAUAUUUUUACUCGAGGGUGUUUGAGUAUGAAGGGAGCCCAAGGAAAAUAUGGUGGCAAUUUUUUGGGGACAAUGCAGUUGGAGAGACAGUUGAAAUAGGGAAUUUUGACCCGAAGAUUGCUACUUUCUGGAUAGAUUCUGGUAAACUGAAAGGGGUUCUCCUUGAAAGUGGCAGUCCUGAGGAAUUUCAACUCCUUCCGAAGCUCGCAAGGAGCCAACCUCACGUUGAUAUGACCAAGCUUCAGAAGGCAUCUUCGGUUGAGGAGGCACUAGAAUUGGCUCAUGCAUCCGUGCAAGCUGGAGCUGCAGUUUAGCUCAGAAUUCCCCACGACCCUAACUUUCCUCUUUUUAAUAAUAUUUUCGUCCAGGAUUUGCCCCCCUCCCUGCCCUUUUUUGGUCAAAUAAUUGCAGUGGUGACGCAUAUCAUGAAAUGGUGCACUCAGUAAAGGAACACGUGGAUGAUGGAUCAACAGUUGUGGCUGCCUUCAUGGAAAUUUCUUCAUUCUAGAAACCUCCUUUUCGAGGUAGACCGUAGACCUAGCCAUUUUGCGUCGCCGUGGGAAAGUAGAGUAUGAGCAUAGAAAUUCUAGUCUAUGAAAAAUUUUACUACACUUGUCCUUUUCACCUGGAAAUUGAUGUAAAUCUACUCAAAUCAUCGUUGAUUUCACAACUUUAUAAUUGUAUUUCGCCUAUAAACUUUGUUUUCAAAGUUAUCUCAAAUCCCUUUUACCUAAA